rnacentral:tRNA from 1 species
GGUCUCAUAGCUCAGUUGGAUAGAGCAACUGCCUUCUAAGCAGUAGGUCAUUGGUUCGAAUCCAAUUGAGAUCA